rnacentral:rRNA from 1 species
AUUGAACGCUGGCGGCAGGCCUAACACAUGCAAGUCGAGCGGAGCGGCGGACGGGUGAGUAAUGCCUAGGAAUCUGCCUGGUGGUGGGGGAUAACGUCCGGAAACGGGCGCUAAUACCGCAUACUAUCAGAUUAGCCUUGGUCGGAUUCGCUAGUGGGUGGGGUAAAGGCCUACCAAGGCGACGAUCCGUAACUGGUCUGAGAGGAUGAUCAGUCACAUGGGAACGGAGACACGGUCAAGACUCCUACGGGAGGCAGAAGUGGGGAAUAUUGGACAAUGGGCGAAAGCUGGAUCCAGCCAUGCCGCGUGGGUGAAGAAGGUCUUCGGAUUGUAAAGCACUUUAAGUUGGGAGGCGGUACCAACAGAAUAAGCACCGGCUAACUUCGUGCCAGCAGCCGCGGUAAUUC